CUACUUUUUCAAAUGGUUUGCCAUUAUGGGGGUAAUUCUCAUUCCUGGGCUAUCACACCGUCUCAAAGGUAACAUUACUAAUCUGGCAAAUUUCAAUGUGAAAAUGGAACGUUCUAUAUUUGACCCUGUAACUUUCCAAAACACCAUAAAACCUGUUAAUGGGGGGUACUGUUGUACUCGUGAGACAUCGCUGAUUACAAAUAUGUGCAUUUUUUUGCAGUAAAACCGUAUUAUGACAUUAACAGCUAAAAUGUCAGACGGAAAUACAAUUUUUUUAAAAAAAUCUUAUUUUCUCAAUUUUUUUAAAAUUGUAUUCAUAAUAAAUUAUGUUCCAUAUAUGAAUAGUUAAUGAUAAAUUAAAGCCCUGUUUUUCCUG